rnacentral:rRNA from 1 species
ACGGGACCCGCACAAGCGGUGGAUGAUGUGGAUUAAUUCGAUGACAACGACGAAAAACCUUACCUACGCUUGACAUGUCAGGAACCUCGAAGAGAUUUGAGGGUGCCGAAAGGGAACCUGAACACAGGUGCUGCAUGGCUGUCGUCAGCUCGUGUCGUGAGAUGUUGGGUUAAGUCCCGCGACGAGCGCAACCCUUAUCAUUAGUUGCUACGCAAGGGCACUCUAAUGAGACUGCCGGUGACAAACCGGAGGAAGGUGGGGAUGACGUCAAGUCCUCAUGGCCCUUAUGCGUAGGGCUUCACACGUCAUACAAUGGUCGGUACAGAGGGUUGCCAACCCGCGAGGGGGAGCCAAUCCCACAAAGCCGAUCGUAGUCCGGAUUGCAGUCUGCAACUCGACUGCAUGAAGUCGGAAUCGCUAGUAAUCGCGGAUCAGCAUGUCGCGGUGAAUACGUUCCCGGGCCUU